GCUGUGAGUUGUUUCUUUUGAAAAUGACUGCUUGAUGAUAAGUUUCAAACAACUAUGAAGUGAGUGGAUGUUCUAGAGAGACUAAUUCUUCAAAGAAUGAAUGAUCAUCAUCAUGCUUAUAUUGGAAUAAAAGGAAGGAAGUGACAGCUACAGUCAUGGUAAAAGUAAAUGCAGUCAGAAGACCUCUUAUUUCACCUGAAGAGCCAGCCUUUUCAAGUUCUGUAUCAAAUAAAAGUAACAAGGACUGCUAAAAAUACCUUUUAUAACUUGCAAAUGUGCAGUCUGUGACAUAACUGUCUGAUCCAGGUAGUUUAGUGUUGACAAGAUGACAUUUCAUCUCUGUUAGAGUAGAGGACACAAGUUUGAAAUGCAGUAUGUCAUUGUGAAGGCAAAAUGUUUAUGAAAAUAGUGUGUGUGUUUUCCAAAUAGAGAGGCUGAAAGUGGGGAAUCAUCAAUUUAAUAGUGUUUUUGGAAUAAGUUAUGGUCAUCAGAAUAGUAAUAAUCUGUCCCUUUUUUGGAUUGCCACAGACCAAAAAAAAUGAUUGGUGCCUUUG